rnacentral:lncRNA from 1 species
UGAGCCCAAUUGAUUCUAUUAUAAAAUGUCAUUAGCUAUCAUUUAGUUAUUAUAUUGGUGUUGAAGUUGAUUAUUUUUAUUAUUAGAAUAUGAAUUCCUAUCCACAGCCUCUUAUGUAAAAAACAGGGUAAGACUGCGUACAAUACACCAAUAAUGGUGGGAUCCCUUCCCGGACCCCGCAUAUGCGGGAGCUUUAGUGCACCGGGUUGUCCUUUAUGAAUACCUAUCAACAAUUAUCAACAAAGACAAUGUUUAGUGUGACAACUUAACAAGUUAAAAAGUAAGAUUCAAUGUGUUUAGUUUGAAUCUAGUUUGAAAAUUGGGAUGGAUAAUAAUACUAAUUGUGAUUUACUCAAGAUUUAUAUAUUUAAUGGAAAUUAAUAAUGCCAAAUUGUACAAGAAAACAAAAACAACGUACAAUUUAUAAUGCAUAAAAGUGU